rnacentral:rRNA from 1 species
AUGGGCGGCAAUGGAGGUGGCUUCAGUGGCAACAUGAUCAGUUGCAUGGGAGGUGGCUUCGGUGGCAACACAAGCGACAUGGGAGGUGGCUUCGAUGGCAACAUGAGUGGCAUGGAAGAUGGCUUUGGCGGCAACAUGGGCAUGGGAGGUGGCAAUGAAGGUGCUUUCAGUGGAGUUCACGGCAACGAGACAUCAACUCAUGAAGACGUCGACAAAGAAGCCAUUAAUGAUGAUGAUCAUACCACCAUCAACAAGCAACGGCGAUCAGCCUUUUUUAAUCCGAGCGUGCGGUGGGGGCCGUCCUCAUCCCUUCGAGACGCCCCCAUUCCCAUCUUGCCUCCCACAGUGCUCCCCCGUCGACGACAAACCCUAGCCACUGCCAUGGGCUUCUUCUCCGGCAAGGGCAAGGCCCCCCACCCCUUCCCUUGCCCCCUCCUCCGCCGGCCGCGGCAACACAUCAACGUCCCAGUGCACCAGGCGAACUGGCACUGGGAGCACCGCGUCCCCCUCCCCUAUCCUGACGUGACACUGCCAGACGAUUGGCACUUGGAUCCGGAGACAAUCCCAGUGUCGGCGGUGUCGUGGUCGGCGAGGGCGCGCACGGAGGAGUGGCACCGGCGGCAUCUGCUGACGCCGGAGCAGCUGCGCGACCCCGCAUACGCCUCCGACUCUCCCGCUUGGGAGCAGUGGUUCGCGUUCGAGCACGAGGAGGCAGGAGGAGCGACGUCCGUGACGUGUGGCAUGGCUCCCCGCCGCCGCCCCUCGUCGUGCUCGACGAGGACCAGGAGGCGGAGGCCGCCUACUAGGCGGCUGCCGGCACAGUCCCCCGUCAAGGCCGAGCCGCCGCCGAUCCCAUCGAGCGCUACUCGUGGGACGGGGUGGUGCAUGAGUGAGUUAGGGCGCCACCGAUCUGGUACGGGGCGACACAGGAGCAGACCUACCUGGAGCACUAGCGGCAGCGGAGGAGCGGCGCGAGGGCGAGCGGCUCGAGCAGCUGGAGCUCAACGUGGAGGAGGAGCGUCUUGCCCGCGGUGGGGCUGCCUAGCCGGCGGACGACGUCGCCGCAGCCUGGGAGACGACGUUCCCUUGGGCUGGCCCGGCGCCGACGCUCAUCGACCUCACCGGAUCCGACGACGACGACGAGCACGCCUAGGACAUUGCGGUCCGGCGCGGCGGAAAAAGCCGCAGCUGCGUGGAAGGCAAACCAUGAUCGCCGUCAGUAAAGUGGAGAUCCACGUCACCCCCUCCAUCCAUCUUCAUCCCCGGGAUCAGCUGAGGCGACAACUCAGCAGCCACCACGCUUGUACCGCCAUGAAUCAACCGCCGCAGAAGAUCCAGCAUCCAGGACAAGGAAAAAACGUCGCGCUCGGCCCAGCCUUCAGCAUCAAGGAUGUCCCUUUGAGCCGCCCACCCACUCGCCGCGGCUCCCCUUCUUCCUCCCAUCGCAUUCUUCCCGCACACAAUCCAUCUUUCUUUAUUCUUCCCUUCCACUCUUCAUUUGAGUCUAAUCCCGUUUCUUCCCUCGUCCGACGCCCAACUUCCGCUCCCCCGCAGUUCACAUCACCUUUGCUUCGGCUUUCUUGCCGCCCGCGGGCCGCCGUUGAACUCGAACUCGACAAGAAGAAAGAAGCCAAGCACUCCACGGAACCUCCCACCACAAGCCGAGAGAUUCCAGACGGAAGCUUUGGUUCCAAGAACCCGAGGGAGGAAUCCCAGGAGAGAAGCCAAGAAAUCGAAACAAGGAUAGUAGUAGUGCUACUGUAG